UAGAAGCUGAGGUGUAGGUGGGACAUGAAAUGGAAUUUGAUUAGGCGGAAGAGGCAUACUAGUAGGAAUGUGGAGCCGAUGAUGACAUGGAGGCCGUGGAAUCCUGUGGCGACGAAGAAUUUUUUUUUGUAAUACAAAGAUUGCUGAUAAAAUCAUGCUGUAGUAAAAAAUAUCAUAACCAAAAUUCACUGA
rnacentral:lncRNA from 12 species